GAUGAACGCUGGCGGCAUGCCUAAUACAUGCAAGUCGAGCGACCGGACGAGAAGAUCGCUCCUCUGCUGUUAGCGGCGGACGGGCGAGUAACACGUAGAUCACCUUCUUCUUAGACUGGGAUAACUUCGGGGAAACGGAUCCACUACCAGCUCAUACUUUGAACCGCUUAGUUCAAAAGUUCUAGGCGCCUUUGCUGUUACAUAUAGCUGGAUCCGCGUUGCAUUAGCUAGUUGGUAAGGUACCGGCUUACCAAGGCAACGAUGCGUAGCCGAUCUGAGAGGAUGAUCAGCCACACUGGAACUGAGACACGGUCCAGACUCCUACGGGAGGCAGCAGUAGGGAAUCUUCCACAAUGGGCGAAAGCCUGACGGAGCAACACCGCGUGAGUGAUGAAGGUCUUCGGAUUGUAAAGCUCUGUUGUUAGGAAAGAACAUAUGUAUGUGUAACUGUGCACAUUUUGACGGUACCUAAACAGAAAGCAACGGCUAACUACGUG
rnacentral:rRNA from 1 species